GGUUGAGCUGACAUUCUUUUAGAGUGUAUGUGCUCGCUCGUCAUCUUUUAUCUAUCCACCUGUGCACUUUUUGUAGNCUUUUGAGAUGUUACCCUUUUGCUGAGGUUUUCACUUGGUUCAGAGGAAUGGCUUUUAUUUAGCCUUNCCUUGGGGAGUACGUCUUGAGUCUAUGUCUUUCACAUACUCCAAUGAAUGUAAUAGAAUGUAUUUUAAUGGGACAUUUGUGCCUAUAAAUCUAUACAACUUUCAGCAACGGAUCUCUUGGCUCUCGCAUCGAUGAAGAACGCAGCGAAAUGCGAUAAGUAAUGUGAAUUGCAGAAUUCAGUGAAUCAUCGAAUCUUUGAACGCACCUUGCGCCCUUUGGUAUUCCGAGGGGCAUGCCUGUUUGAGUGUCAUUAAAUUAUCAACCUUUACUGGCUUUUGCUGUGUAAAAGGAUUGGAUGUGGGGGAAUUUACUUUUGCAGAUUUCUGAUAAAGAAACUUGCUCCCCUCAAAUGUAUUAGCGGUUCCCUUGUGGACUCGUCUAUUAGUGUGAUAAAAUCUAUCUACGCUGCUAGAUGUCUAUGUUUUAGGGUAUUUAAAACAUACCGCUUCUAAUCGUCCUUCAGUUGGACAAUAUAUUUGACUCUUG
rnacentral:rRNA from 1 species